ACUGCGGAGGGAUCAUUACAGUUGACCCCGGCCCUCGGGCCGGGAUGUUCACAACCCUUUGUUGUCCGACUCUGUUGCCUCCGGGGCGACCCUGCCUCCGGGCGGGGGCCCCGGGUGGACAUUUCAAACUCUUGCGUAACUUUGCAGUCUGAGUAAAUUUAAUUAAUAAAUUAAAACUUUCAACAACGGAUCUCUUGGUUCUGGCAUCGAUGAAGAACGCAGCGAAAUGCGAUAAGUAAUGUGAAUUGCAGAAUUCAGUGAAUCAUCGAAUCUUUGAACGCACAUUGCGCCCCCUGGUAUUCCGGGGGGCAUGCCUGUUCGAGCGUCAUUUCACCACUCAAGCCUCGCUUGGUAUUGGGCGACGCGGUCCGCCGCGCGCCUCAAAUCGACCGGCUGGGUCUUUCGUCCCCUCAGCGUUGUGGAAACUAUUCGCUAAAGGGUGCCGCGGGAGGCCACGCCGUGAAACAACCCCAUUUCUAAGGUUGACCUCGGAUCAGGUAGGGAUACCCGCUGAACUUAAGCAUAUCAAUA
rnacentral:rRNA from 1 species